rnacentral:rRNA from 1 species
AUACGUAGGUGGCAAGCGUUGUCCGGAAUUAUUGGGCGUAAAGCGCGCGCAGGUGGUUUCUUAAGUCUGAUGUGAAAGCCCACGGCUCAACCGUGGAGGGUCAUUGGAAACUGGGAGACUUGAGUGCAGAAGAGGAUAGUGGAAUUCCAAGUGUAGCGGUGAAAUGCGUAGGGAUUUGGAGGAACACCAGUGGCGAAGGCGACUAUCUGGUCUGUAACUGACACUGAGGCGCGAAAGCGUGGGGAGCAAACAGGAUUAGAUACCCUGGUAGUCCACGCCGUAAACGAUGAGUGCUAAGUGUUAGGGGGUUUCCGCCCCUUAGUGCUGCAGCUAACGCAUUAAGCACUCCGCCUGGGGAGUACGGUCGCAAGACUGAAACUCAAAUGAAUUGGCGGGG